UUUAUCAAUUUACCUACUUAUAAUUAAAAUAUUUUCAAAGCUAUGUGAUUUAGAAGUUAUUUUUUGACAGCAAAUAUGUACAGUGCACAUGAAACUACCCAAAUUCGUCGAUUACCGCCGCAAUGCGACGCCACGCCGCCACCGUUAGAUAUCCAGUUGGUUAGCGGAACAAUGCAUUUCAAGAAUGUUACCUACCAGCGAACAAGUUGCCGAAUGGAGAGCCGCCGAAGAAUUCUCUAAACACUUCCUCGGGAUCGCGGAAUGUGAAUGGGAAGCUGGCGUAUCCGAAGUCAUAGUCGUCGUCCACUCCCGAACGCCUGCCUCUACCACUGUUCAAUCCUUCUUUUCCGUACUGGUCAUAGACACGCCGUUUCCUUUCUGUACAAAAAAAGUAUUAAUUAACAUCAAUACAAGUAUCGGUAGAAGAAACUAUUUUGCAACACUCUUGACAACUUAACAUUUUCUUUCGGCGGCGGUGGCGGUCUUAAUGCGACCGAAUCCAAUCAUACUGGACUUAAAAGAGACGAACCAAAUUGUUUUGUUUGUCAAGCACAUGUCAACGGGAAUUAUUAGCUAAAUAAAGCCAAAUAGUUUAAGUUUUGA